rnacentral:rRNA from 1 species
UGGGGAAUAUUGGACAAUGGGCGCAAGCCUGAUCCAGCAAUGCCGCGUGUGUGAAGAAGGCCUUCGGGUUGUAAAGCACUUUUAUCAGGAACGAAAAGCGUGGGGUUAAUACCCGUACGUGCUGACGGUACCUGAGGAAUAAGCACCGGCUAACUUCGUGCCAGCAGCCGCGGUAAUACGAAGGGUGCAAGCGUUAAUCGGAAUUACUGGGCGUAAAGCGUGCGUAGAUGGUUUGUUAAGUCGAAUGUGAAAGCCCCGGGCUCAACCUGGGAACUGCAUCCGAUACUGGCAGACUAGAGUGUGGUAGAGGAUGGCGGAAUUCCCGGUGUAGCGGUGAAAUGCGUAGAGAUCGGGAGGAACAUCCGUGGCGAAGGCGGCCAUCUGGACCAACACUGACGUUGAGGCACGAAAGCGUGGGGAGCAAACAGG